rnacentral:rRNA from 1 species
GUUGAUAAGGUUAAGUGAAUAAGGGCGCACGGUGGAUGCCUUGGCACUAGGAGCCGAUGAAGGACGGGACUAACACCGAUAUGCUUUGGGGAGCUGUACGUAAGCUAUGAUCCAGAGAUUUCCGAAUGGGGAAACCCAACAUCUUUUAUAGGAUGUUACGUUUGCGUGAAUACAUAGCGCAUUCGAGGUAGACGCAGAGAACUGAAACAUCUAAGUACCUGCAGGAAGAGAAAGAAAAUUCGAUUCCCUGAGUAGCGGCGAGCGAAACGGGAAAAGCCCAAACCAAUGAGCUUGCUCAUUGGGGUUGUAGGACUCCAAUAUGGUAGUUCUUUCAGAUAAUCGAAUGACUUGGAAAAGUCAGUCAAAGAGGGUAAAAACCCCGUAGAUGAAAUUUGGAAGGCACCUAGGAGGAUCCUGAGUACGGCGGAACACGAGGAAUUCCGUCGGAAUCCGGGAGGACCAUCUCCCAAGGCUAAAUACUCCCUAGUGACCGAUAGUGAACCAGUACCGUGAGGGAAAGGUGAAAAGCACCCCGGAAGGGGAGUGAAAGAGUUCCUGAAACCGUGCGCCUACAAUCCGUCGGAGCCUCCUUGUGGGGUGACGGCGUGCCUAUCGAAAAAUGAGUCUGCGAGUCAGUGGUGCGUGGCGAGGCUAACCCGUGGUGGGGGAGCCGUAGCGAAGGCGAGUCUCAAAAGGCGUUUUGAGUCGCGCGCCCUGGACCCGAAGCGGGAUGAUCUAGCCCUGAGCAGGUUGAAGCGCGGGUAAGACCGCGUGGAGGACCGAACCCACCUGGGUUGAAAACCGGGGGGAUGACUUGGGGCUAGGGGUGAAAGGCCAAUCAAAUUCCGUGAUAGCUGGUUCUCUCCGAAAUAGCUUUAGGGCUAGCCUCGGAUUUGAGAAUGAUGGAGGUAGAGCACUGUUUGGACUAGGGGCCCAUCUCGGGUU